CAGUAGCCGCGGUAAUACGAAGGGGGCUAGCGUUGUUCGGAAUCACUGGGCGUAAAGCGCACGUAGGCGGACGCUUAAGUCAGGGGUGAAAUCCCGAGGCUCAACCUCGGAACUGCCUUUGAUACUGGGUGUCUUGAGUCCGGGAGAGGUGAGUGGAACUGCGAGUGUAGAGGUGAAAUUCGUAGAUAUUCGCAAGAACACCAGUGGCGAAGGCGGCUCACUGGCCCGGAACUGACGCUGAGGUGCGGAAGCGUGGGGAGCAAACAGGAUUAGAUACCCGCGUAGUCCCUGUCUCUUAUAC
rnacentral:rRNA from 1 species